rnacentral:rRNA from 1 species
UACGUAGGGGGCAAGCGUUGUCCGGAAUCAUUGGGCGUAAAGCGCGUGUAGGCGGCUCGGUAAGUCCGCUCUGAAAGUCCAGGGCUCAACCCUGGGAUGCGGGUGGAUACUGCCGGGCUCGAGUCCGGAAGAGGCGAGUGGAAUUCCCGGUGUAGCGGUGAAAUGCGCAGAUAUCGGGAGGAACACCAAUGGCGAAGGCAGCUCGCUGGGACGUGACUGACGCUGAGACGCGAAAGCGUGGGGGGCGAACAGG